rnacentral:rRNA from 1 species
GAAUAUUGGACAAUGGGCGAAAGCCUGAUCCAGCCAUGCCGCGUGAGUGAUGAAGGCCCUAGGGUUGUAAAGCUCUUUUACCCGGGAAGAUAAUGACUGUACCGGGAGAAUAAGCUCCGGCUAACUCCGUGCCAGCAGCCGCGGUAAUACGGAGGGAGCUAGCGUUGUUCGGAAUCACUGGGCGUAAAGCGCGCGUAGGCGGCUGUUCAAGUCAGAGGUGAAAGCCCGGGGCUCAACCCCGGAACUGCCUUUGAGACUGGAUAGCUAGAAUAUCGGAGAGGUGAGUGGAAUUCCGAGUGUAGAGGUGAAAUUCGUAGAUAUUCGGAAGAACACCAGUGGCGAAGGCGACUCACUGGACGAUUAUUGACGCUGAGGUGCGAAAGCGUGGGGAGCAAACAGG